GUACCUGAGAGGAGAACCCCCAGGCUGCAGGCCUUGCUGAAGGCCUGAAGCAGACGGCUUCAGUCUCAGAUUGUCUGUUUGAGAAUUAUCCACAGGCUGGCUGGGAGAGUUGAAACAACCUUUAACCUUUCAGAAGAGUCACUGAAAUAAGAGAUGUGUGGAGCCUAUUCUGGCUGGGAGUAUGGGUCAGAAGGACACCUUGUAUAGAGAGGCCUCUUCCAUAAACUGUCAUUUGCAAGGCUGCCAUGUAAUGGAUGCACAUGAACAGAAAUACAUGAACAGAGUUUAUGUUUGGUACCUGUAUGGAUACGAGGGGAACCAAUGCUGAGGAUAUAUUUGUAGAAAACAAAACCUACUCUAAGGAACAAUUUUCAUCUAUUUAUAUAGACAAGCUCAGCUUCUGCAAAACCCCAGAGUACUGUGGGAACAUGCUUUCACCAGCCUCCAUUCUUCUUCCAGCUUCUGAUUCCAAAGAAACCCCCAGGAAAGAAACAUAAAAAUGAAUCCUUUUAUUAUCGCACUCCAAUCAUU